GGUGGUAUGCCCGGAUAUCCCUGAAGGCUCAACCUUCCCACUGUCUCCCAUCUUCACCCUGGAGUUGCUAAAACAGACCUACCUUUGGCAAAAUAUAUGGCUGUUUCUUACUCAGUAAGACCCAUUUCUUCUGAGGAGAGCAGUAGAUUUCAUCAAUAUCACAUGGCAAUACAUUGACUGUGGAAAUGAGGUGUAAAUCUGGAAUUCUAAAGAUGUACAGGUUACCCAAGAUAUCGCCUGCCUGAAAUCAGAGCAGUGGCACCUGGUCAGUGAGGAAAAGUUAAGUAUGGAGGAAGCAGUGUUAUCUGCUCAGAGAUACACCACUGUGUCUUCAAGUCCUGUAACAAGACUGAAAGCUGUGACCAGCCUGCCUCACAGAGUGUCUACACUGAUCCAUGGAAUAAGAUUCUCUAGACCUGGGGGGAUGACUCAGUCCCACAGAUGGUAGCAAGAAGAUGGUUCCAUCCAUGUAAGACAGAACCAGCUAAAAAAGACGCACACACAGACACACAUCAGAACUCCAAAUUUCUGGAUACCGUGAGUAAUCUAGUUCAAAACUAGGCUUCUCUCUCUCUCUCUCUCUCUCUCUCUCUCUCUCUCUCUCUCUCUAUCUCUCUCUCUCAAUCUCUCUCUCUCAAUCUCUCUCUCUCAAUCUCUCUCUCUCAAUCUCUCUCUCUCAAUCUCUCUCUCUCAAUCUCUCUCUCUCAAUCUCCCCCCCCCCCCACCACAGUGUUCCUGGUCAGCUUCCUCCUGUCUCUCUCACAGGUUUCAGCUGCAAGUAGCCUGCUCUCCAGGCUCUGCAGCCCCUUGGCUUUGAUCUGUGAAUAUACAAAUAUCUCUGCUCUGCAGCUGCACCUGCCCUAACUCUCUGCCUCCUCAAACAGCAGUGUUGCUCUGAGCUCUGUCCCUCCCUCCUCACCACAGCAUCCCAAGAGUGCGGCCCACACCAAGGGAGCGACCGCUGGCCCCCGCCCCAGGGAAAGGAGUCCCAGAAUGGACUGCGGACCAACGGACAAAGCGCCAGGGCAUCAAAACAGACCAUGGUGUGCUCUUAUGCAAACCAUUACAGGUCUAUCUCCACACAGUGCCUGCUGUCACAAGUCCACCUGAGACAGCUCCAUCUCCUGAGACCUACAGACAAAAGCUGCCUUCCUCCAAGAACCUCAUCUGACUGAAGACUCCCAAGACACACACUAAAUCCUACAAAAGACAGACUUGGGACCUUCCAGCUACAGAUGAACUCUCUUGCCAAAGCCAAAUGGCUGCUGAACUUGGGGAAAAUUACAUGAUAGUGAGGAAAACAUAAUGUCUAUCUAGAUUAAUUAAUUGAUGUUCAAAACUGAUGUUAUUAGCCUCAAAUUGUACUACCCAUGGAAAAAUUAAUUGAUCGUACAAUCUCUUACCUUCUCAACACUUACCUUAACUCUUACUACUGUGGCUUUGUUGUGCUACUUCUCUAGGCUAUAUGUUUUCUUCUGAUACUUCCACUCCACCCUAAAUUUUCACAACUAAUGACACAGUCACACAGUGUCACACACACCCCGUUUUCUUAUAAAAACAGACGGGAUACUUGUGGGGCAUUGGGCUAUGCACAGACGGCCUGGUUUCCAGUUGAAGCUAGAUGUUAAGCCCCAGGACCCGGUGGUGAUAAUUCACCUACAUAGGAUGGAAGGAGUUCUCUCAUACUCCUGGAACUCUGGCUCCUGUUGAAGUUACCACCCCUCAGCCCCUACAAGAGAAGCAUGGUUGGUAGUCACAUAGUCACAUAGGCAAUGUCCCAAGCUUCUAACCUUCAGGCUAGACUCCUCCCCAGUUACCUAGCAACAGCAAAGAAAAAAGCCUCUCAUCUUCUGGGCCUGAUGGCCAGACUACCUCUGCCAGAGUCAAGAUGGAACUGUCCACUGCAGGUCCCACCAGAUGGAUGACUCUAUUGUCUCCAAGGGAAACAACUGAACUGACAAGGUCCUGACCUCGGCCUACCAACUCCUUAAUGUCACACAACCUGGCCACUUUAAAGAUUGCUGGCUAUGUGUACCCCCUGGAAUUAACUCACAAUUGCCAGUUACAUCUUUUCUGAUGACUCUGUCAAGUAAACUU
rnacentral:lncRNA from 1 species